rnacentral:rRNA from 1 species
AUGACCGGUACAGGGGAGAAAGCCUCAGACACUCCACCUGGUGACACACCCAAGGCUAGUAUACAAAGAAAAGAAAAAGUGGACGCACAAACGGAUAUCCCAACCAUCGGCGCAAAGGAAACAAACAAGGACGAUCAUGCCAAAGAACAGCAAGGAGUACAAACGGAACAAGCCAAAAAACAAGGGCAAAUGGUGACACAAAUGGUACCCAGUACGCCGAAGAAAGAAACAAAUGAAAUGCAAGAAAUAGAGGAGAGCACCAAUAUUCAAGACCAACAAACACAACAACACAAGGGAAUGGAACAAGCGGAAGAUGUUCUUCCAACAACAGACAGCGUAACCGCCGUAGACCAAACUAGGAAACCUUCACUGUCCGGGCAAGAAAUAACAAGGAUGCCACAAGACAAAAACGACGACACCACGGAUGAACAAAAUGAAAAAGAUCCAGAGGAGGUCCAAAAACCUCCACUCACUGAAGGAAAGGUUGAAGAGGCAACACCGGCAGAAACGACUGAAAAGAAACCUCAACAAGACACGCACACAGACACAAGCAAAGAAGCAAAGGGCCAUAGUGCAUUGGAAAACCAUGCAGCAAAUAUUCCAGAGAGAGUCAGACAACAACAAGAAAAAGGCCGCACCAUCAGACAAGAAACAAUGUGCUGUAAAAGAUGUUGCCGCCACAAACACGACGGUAACCCAGGACGGCACUCAAACAGAACGUGA